UUCGGUUCUGUCAAAACUGUCAAAAAGAUGUUCAAUGUGGAACGGACAAUAUGCUGUUAUCAUGUGAAGCUCAUCAGUUGCUUCUCUAUGGUGCACCACGUGGUAUUGAAUGAAAAAAAACAUGCAUUUCGACAAUUACGACGACUAAAUGACUAUGACGAAAAUACUACUGACUACUAUUGAGCUAUUGAGCAACGUUGCAACUAAUUAUGAUCGUACACUGGACAUCUCAACUGACGACAUCUACGUACAUAUUUAUUUCUACUACCCGGGAUUCGACUGUCUGUCGACUUCUGGCAGGUGACAAGAAGGCUGAGUACCUAAGCUUUUAAAUCGGCGGCGGAGAAAACGCCCAAUGAUUUCCCCUGUGAAUCUCCUACCUCAUACGAACUGGUGCCAAUUUUGCGCAGGAUGACGCAAGGCGAGUAUUGCGGUCCGAGCUUGGCAUUAAACUGAUUGCCUGCCGACGAUUGGCGGAAGCUCCGCUUGAAGACUCGUUGACCCACGUCAAACGUCGGAAUGGUAGUCACGUUUGCAGCUAACAUUGCUGUUCUACAAUCGAUCCUGGUGUUUCGGAACAAGACGUCGAAUUUCCUGUCAUCAUCCCACUGUCUGGACAUACUACGAAAGAUUCGAACCAUAUCCAGAUAGUAGUCCUGAAAUUUCUCCCGCGGACCUUGUCUUCGCGCAUUGGCUAAGCGUUCGUAUUGGUAAUCGAUAUCAACAGCCUUCAUCUUCGUUCUCAAUUUUCGUUCCAGCUUGCUGCGCGAUUCAUCUCUCAUGUCGAUGUUACGAAUGAGUAAUUCAUGAUGAAGUUCAUCAUCCGCGAGGUGUGCAGCAUCCAGCGAGUGGUACUGCACCUGCAAAUGGGCUAGCUCCAUAAUGCAAAUUGGAUAAUUGAAAAUACUACCUAGUUAAAUGCUGAACGGUUU